CCUACGGGUGGCUGCAGUGGGGAAUAUUGCACAAUGGACGGAAGUCUGAUGCAGCAACGCCGCGUGCGGGAUGACGGCCUUCGGGUUGUAAACCGCUUUCAUCCAUGACGAAGCGCAAGUGACGGUAGUGGGAGAAGAAGCACCGGCUAACUACGUGCCAGCAGCCGCGGUGAUACGUAGGGUGCGAGCGUUGUCCGGAUUUAUUGGGCGUAAAGAGCUUGUAGGUGGUUUGUUGCGUCGGGAGUGAAAACCUAGGGCUUAACCCUGGGCCUGCUUCUGAUACGGGCAGACUUGAGGAAGGUAGGGGAGAUCGGAAUUCCUGGUGGAGCGGUGGAAUGCGCAGAUAUCAGGAGGAACACCGGUGGCGAAGGCGGAUCUCUGGACCUUUCCUGACGCUGAGAAGCGAAAGCGUGGGGAGCAAACAGGAUUAGAUACCCGAGUAGUC
rnacentral:rRNA from 1 species